rnacentral:rRNA from 1 species
GACGUAGGAUGCGAGCGUUGUCCGGAUUUAUUGGGCGUAAAGAGCGUGUAGGCGGCUUGGUAGGUCUCGCGUCAAAACCUGAGGCUCAACCUCAGUUCGCGUGGGAAACCACCUAGCUAGAGUCCGGAAGAGGAGAACGGAAUUCCCAGUGUAGCGGUGAAAUGCGCAGAUAUUGGGAAGAACACCAGUGGCGAAGGCGGUUCUCUGGGACGGUACUGACGCUGAGACGCGAAAGCGUGGGGAGCGAACAGG